rnacentral:rRNA from 1 species
AGUGAACGCUGGCGGUAGGCCUAACACAUGCAAGUCGAACGGCAGCACAGUAAGAGCUUGCUCUUACGGGUGGCGAGUGGCGGACGGGUGAGGAAUACAUCGGAAUCUACUUUUUCGUGGGGGAUAACGUAGGGAAACUUACGCUAAUACCGCAUACGACCUACGGGUGAAAGCAGGGGAUCUUCGGACCUUGCGCGAUUGAAUGAGCCGAUGUCGGAUUAGCUAGUUGGCGGGGUAAAGGCCCACCAAGGCGACGAUCCGUAGCUGGUCUGAGAGGAUGAACAGCCACACUGGAACUGAGACACGGUCCAGACUCCUACGGGAGGCAGCAGUGGGGAAUAUUGGAUAAUGGGCGCAAGCCUGAUCCAGCCAUACCGCGUGGGUGAAGAAGGCCUUCGGGUUGUAAAGCCCUUUUGUUGGGAAAGAAAAGCAGCAGGUUAAUACCCCGCUGUUCUGACGGUACCCAAAGAAUAAGCACCGGCUAACUUCGUG